GCCGCGGUAAGACGUAGGGCGCAAGCGUUGUCCGGAUUUAUUGGGCGUAAAGAGCUCGUAGGCGGCCUGUCGCGUCGACCGUGAAAACCCGCAGCUCAACUGCGGGCUUGCGGUCGAUACGGGCAGGCUGGAGUUCGGUAGGGGAGACUGGAAUUCCUGGUGUAGCGGUGAAAUGCGCAGAUAUCAGGAGGAACACCGGUGGCGAAGGCGGGUCUCUGGGCCGAUACUGACGCUGAGGAGCGAAAGCGUGGGGAGCGAACGGGAUUAGAUACCCUGGUAGUCCACGCUGUAAACGUUGGGCGCUAGGUGUGGGGGGCCUCUCCGGUUCUCUGUGCCGCAGCUAACGCAUUAAGCGCCCCGCCUGGGGAGUACGGCCGCAAGGCUAAAACUCAAAGGAAUUGACGGGGGCCCGCACAAGCGGCGGAGCAUGCGGAUUAAUUCGAUGCAACGCGAAGAACCUUACCUGGGUUUGACAU
rnacentral:rRNA from 1 species